CACGUAGGGCGCAAGCGUUGUCCGGAAUUAUUGGGCGUAAAGAGCUCGUAGGUGGUUCGGUAAGUCGGAUGUGAAAUCUCCAGGCUCAACCUGGAGGGGUCAUUCGAUACUGCCGUGACUAGAGGUCGGUAGGGGAGUGUGGAAUUCCUGGUGGAGCGGUGAAAUGCGCAGAUAUCAGGAGGAACACCGGUGGCGAAGGCGGCAU
rnacentral:rRNA from 1 species